rnacentral:rRNA from 1 species
AGCUCCAAUAGCGUAUAUUAAAGUUGUUGUGGUUAAAAAGCUCGUAGUUGGAUAAAAACAGAAUUGAAGCGGGGAACUUUGUAGUAAUACUGCUUUGUAGGCUGUGCUUUUGCUGGAGGUUUAGGGGUGCUCUUGAUCGAGUGUCUCUGGAUGCCAGCAGGUUUACUUUGAAAAAAUUAGAGUGCUCAAAGCAGGCUAAAAUGCCUGAAUAUUCGUGCAUGGAAUAAUAGAAUAGGAUGUCGAUCCUAUUUUGUUGGUUUUCGGGACUCGACAUAAUGAUAAAUAGGGACAGUCGGGGGCAUUUGUAUUCAAACGACAGAGGUGAAAUUCUUGGACCGUUUGAAGACAAACUACUGCGAAAGCAUUUGCCAAGAAUGUUUUCA